rnacentral:lncRNA from 1 species
GCUGGACUACACAUGACACACAUGCUGCUCUCAAGAACAAAAAAUCCUACGCACACGCAGCUAUAAUAGUCUGAUCGCAGCGAUGAGAGACAAUAUUCAACUGGUAGAAGCGUGCAUGUGCAUGUCCGCAUAGCAUUAAAAUGUUGUAUGUGCGGUGACCUUUUUUGGUUUCUGAAAAAAUAGCAGCAUAGUGCCUAGGAUAAUUAGAAUGCGAACAAAAAUGUGCAACGACAUUGAAACAGUAGGUUUGCUCUUUUUAAUUUCUUACUAGUUCUCUCAACAACAAUUAUUAAGGUACAGAAGGAGUAGUUGACAUGAGUUUGAGAAGGGGAAAAUAUAUUAUUAACCAGCGUUCGUCUUUUUGCUUCAUUUUAUUCCAAAAAAAGAGUUUGAGUUUUAUGAACUCAUGGACUUCAUAAAAGGAUUAAUAAAUAUGCAAAGAGUUUGCCUAAUUUUCUAUGGUGAAGAUAUUUGUGAAAACUUUUUGCCCGAUAAUUGUAUUGCUUACAUGUGAAGCUAAAAAAGAUUCCACAAAAGCCUCCCAUUCUAAAUUUCUAACAUAUUUAUAACAUAUGUCCUUUCCU